GGGGAGUACGGCCGCAAGGUUAAAACUCAAAUGAAUUGACGGGGGCCCGCACAAGCGGUGGAGCAUGUGGUUUAAUUCGAUGCAACGCGAAGAACCUUACCAUCCCUUGACAUCCAGUGAAUUUUCCAGAGAUGGAUUAGUGCCUUCGGGAACACUGAGACAGGUGCUGCAUGGCUGUCGUCAGCUCGUGUUGUGAGAUGUUGGGUUAAGUCCCGCAACGAGCGCAACCCUUAUCCUUAGUUGCCAGCGGUUCGGUCGGGAACUCUGGGGAGACUGCCGGUGAUAAACCGGAGGAAGGUGGGGACGACGUCAAGUCAUCAUGGCCCUUACGGGAUGGGCUACACACGUGCUACAAUGGCGCAUACAAAGGGCAGCGAACCUGCGAAGGUAAGCGAAUCUCAUAAAGUGCGUCGUAGUCCGGAUUGGAGUCUGCAACUCGACUCCAUGAAGUCGGAAUCGCUAGUAAUCGUGGAUCAGAAUGCCACGGUGAAUACGUUCCCGGGCCUUGUACACACCGCCCGUCACACCAUGGGAGUGGGUUGCUACCAGAAGUGGUUAGUCUAAC
rnacentral:rRNA from 1 species